UAAGAAGGGUGCAAGAGUUAAUCGGAAUUACUGGGCGUAAAGCGCGCGUAGGUGGUUCGUUAAGUUGGAUGUGAAAGCCCCGGGCUCAACCUGGGAACUGCAUCCAAAACUGGCGAGCUAGAGUACGGUAGAGGGUGGUGGAAUUUCCUGUUGAGCGGUGAAAUGCGUAGAUAUAGGAAGGAACACCAGUGGCGAAGGCGACCACCUGGACUGAUAAGGAAACUGAGGUGAGCAAGCGUGGGGAGCACACAGGCGGCGAUAACCGGGUAGUCC
rnacentral:rRNA from 1 species